CUCUAACUGUAACUGCUCCGUUCGACUCCCGUCCCUUUCCCGUUCGGCCUCGGCCCUUGUCUAAGCGGACUGUGAAGAGGAAGCCACUCACUCGCACGGUAGCUCACAUCAGCCGCGUCUACCGCUUCCUGGUGCGCAGUAAGCCCCAGGGGCGCCAGCGAAGAGGCACAACUUUCCCGCCUAAAUUUCUUUUUCUUCCGACGGCCUACAAAAUUAAAAGGGGGGGGAAAGAAGACCUAUUCCAUAUCACGUGGUCGCAGCUAGGUUUGUUUGCGCUUGCGCAAAAGGAGGGGGUAAGACAGCGAAUGCGCGCGCUCUUUCCUUCUCAGAGUAAACCAGCACCCAGCCUCGCAAGCUCUCGCCUUCAAACGACCAAUACCUCCCCCUCCCCUUGUGUAGCGCAUGCGUAUGUUCCUGGGAUUCCGCCGGGUCCGGCUGCAAAGCGCUCUAGGCAGAGCCUUUCUGUUUUUGUCUUCUCUUGAUCAUUUUGCUGCAUUGGAGGGCAGAGCAUGUAACGCAGAGGUGGGGAGCCUGUGGCCCUCCAGUUGUUUUUGGACUCCGAACAGCCCCAACCAGCAUAGCCGCUGGUCAGGGGUGGUGGGAAUUGUAGUUCAGCAACACCCCUAAUGCAACGGGUAACCCUUUCAGCUCUAGAGCAAAGAAAGCAAAGGAGGGCAUUAGUGAAGGCUUCCUUACUUCCGGCCUCACUGCCGCCCGUCCGGCUCCUUUGGCCCACUGCACUCUCAGUGCAGGUUGGCUCACAGUGUUAAAUACCACGCUCUUGGGUUGAGGCAGGGUAACAGAAGUGGUGAAGGCAGGAGGGCUGCUUUCCCCUUCCGUAGUCUUGCUCUUUUCUUCCCAGCCCAAGUGGAUUCCAGCAGCAGUUGUUUGCUAGGCAAUGACAGGAGACUUGAGACCCAGGAAUAGAUCUGCGGACAUGCCGUUAUUUUAAGGGAGGGAAAAGUGUGAACUAUGGAUUCUGCUUUGAGGAUCCAUUUGCACCAGGAUUUUCUAGAGCAUGAAAGAAAAUAAACUUCUGGUGUAUCCUAAUGCAGCUACUUAGAAACAGGCUUCAAACCUCCUCACACAUAACAAAGCCUUGUUUGGUGAGAUGGAUGAUGAGGGAACACUGGCUUGUCGGCAACAGUCCAUUUUUGGGGCCCUUGUAGCUGAGGAUGAAGCGAACAACAUACCAGUGCUCUGCUUCCUACAACUACUGAGCAACCACAGGUCUGCAGGUGUGAACUGAUGGCUCUGCAAAUUAAACACAGUGGUAAAUUAAAUAUUUCAGAAGAGUUUUACAUGCUGAAACUAAAAAGGAUUUACAAAAAGCUUUUUUUCUACUGAUAUUAACAUUUACAAAUGUGGCAAGUAGUCUGUACUAAAAUCAAAUGCCACGAAUGAGAACUAUAUGGCUAUCUCAACCACUUGAAAUUAAAUUACUACAAAGUCAGCUGUGACUUCAGACAAAAAGCCACAAACAAAUUAAAUUAUACACAAACAUGUAAGCUGUCCUGUUCAGAGCGGGAUUCACAAGGCUGAGACGCAGGUGCAAUUAAAUCUUGUUUUAUUAAAGUAAUGGAUACAUCAAAGGCAGUGUGCUUCAUAGAAACCUCUAAGCUAGCUCACUCAAAUUCCCUAACUGCACUCUAGACAUGCUCUGCAACGUGUGAAGAAAGUUGACUCAGCAGCUCAAGCCAAACAGCUGCAGUCUUAAGCAGGGAAAGUUUCAGAUCGUAAUCUCUGACUCCUUCACAAGUCCUGCCUCUGUCCCGUCUGCUUCUCACGGCGUCGAGAGCGGGGUGACAGAGGGGCGCUUCCAAAAGAGCCGAAAGAACCGUCUCCUUAGCAACCGGCUCGAGGUCAUGGGGCGGUGACGUGCUUGAAGCAUCCCAAGAGCUGCUUGGUAAAGGGGGAAUCAACACGCGCUCCAAAACAUCUUCCAACGGCUCAUCUGACCUGUCUCGGGGAGGCGCACUCUCCUCUUCAGAGACCACGCCAUCUGUGGGAACUGGCCCGGACUCAACCUCACUCCCCCUCCCAAGGUCUUGCUGAGACUCAACAACUCCUGGGUCUUCCACACCUUCUGACAGCUGGGAAACCUGAAACCCAUGUCUUCCCCCUCCCUGGCCCUCGUGGGGGAGUGGAGGCUCAACAUAAGCUGAUAUAAAAUUGUAAGUAUCUGAAGAGAGGUAUUUUGCCAUUGCAUUCAUAUGCGAGUAUCUUGCUUUACCCUACAGUAAUCAUUGCCGCAGAGUUCCAAAGUUAGCAAUGUAGACUGCUAAAUAAUUAUCUGAUAACCUUCACUUUGUGUUUAUGGCAUAAUUUGAGUUCAUAAUGGUAAAGAAACUAAAUAAUUCUCUAGCUGUACAGAAUUAACUGUUUGCAUUUCUAGAAGUUAUGUUACAUUUGGUUAUGGUAUGUAGUCUGAACUUUCCACUUGUUGGCAGUAGUGAAAAAGCUCCUUAUUUUUAAAAUGUGUAAUAUUUGGGAGGAGGAGUGUAAGCAGAAGGAUCUCACUAGUUCCAGGAAAUGCAUGAGACUUAACCCAAGUUCUGUUAAUAGACUCUGGCCCAUAGGGCUCCAUGGACUGAAAUACAAUCAGUCCCAUACUGUUCAGGUACACUGCCUUUUCCUUUGGUAGGCCUAUCAUUAACUCUGUUAGUGUCAAAUGGAAUGUGGUAGUACGAGAGUGAAGUACUCAUCUUUCUAGUAGUUACCAGGGCUUUUUGUGUAUGUGUGUGUGAUGGUACUCAUCGGUACACAGUACGGUCACCUCACCCAUGGCAGCCAUUUUGUGCUGGCGCCCAUGGCACUUUUAUCAAGUUAUAAGUACUGGCACCUCAUUUUUUUAAAACCAAAGGAGGACUAGCAGUAACAAUGCCAUACCUACAGUGCCACUGAUAACAGAAGUUAAGUUAGUCAGAUUCUAGCUUUCAGUGUCAGGAAAGUAAUUUUUUUACCUAGAAAACAGAUGCACAUGAUGGAAUGGAGAAGCAACCCCCCCCCAGCUCGCUUCAAUUCAGUGACAUAAUCCAUUUCUAAACUGCCUUGGCAUUUUCUACAUUCCCUUAAACUUAUGCUGUUUCCAUGCUUCCACUGUUAAAAGCUUUAAUAUUUUUCUAACCAAUGCAACUGCCAAGAUGAACAAUUGUCAAUAUACUAUUGCACAAAUAGGUUCCCAUAAAAAAAUCACACUAGUUUUCAUAUAAAUUCAGUUUUACUUUAAACAAUUUAAAAUAAAUUUACAUAUGUCACAAAAUCCUAUCAAUAAAUAUGCCCCACAACCACAACCAGUCACCUAUCACUUCAUUUCUCUCAAAAACCAGAGCUUGGAAAUGUUACUUUUUUUAAACUACAGUUCCCAUCAGCCCCAGCCAGCAUGGCCACUGGAUUGGGCUGAUGGGAGUUGUAGUUCAAAAAAGUAACUUUUCCAAGCUCUGCCAAAAACCUCUACUUUAAAAGUAUUUUCUCAAAAGCUAUUGAUCGUACUUAAGGAGGAAACCUUCAUGAUAGCUGUCUCCAAUGUCAUAAUCACUAAGCACGGUUUCACUUAUCUGGAAUGUGAAUAAAAACAAGGGGAGGAAGAUUAGUAGUAUACCACAUGAACACAUUAGAAAUGACAAAUAGUCCACAAACCAACCCUAAACAUACUUUAAUGCAAAAUUACUGAGAUUCAUACAAAAUAAGGAAAUAUACAAAGUCAGAAUUCUUUUACCAUCAUCUUCCAGGAGGCUAUGUGAACAGAACAAGCCCCAGUGCUCUUUCACAAUUCAAACAAGCAAGCGACCAUGGAAUUAUAUGUUCACUGUUUUGCCUCCUCUCUCUUGUAUAUUUCCUCCCUCCUUCAGCUAUGGUUAUUGCCAAUCAGGGUUAACUAUUAACCAGCUUUUGAAGACAACUUCAAACCCUGGUUUCAAACCCUAACUUGUGAGCUAACACCCUGGGUAACAUUAAGCAUACACAGAACCCUUUAUUCUAAAUAAGGUGGGUAGGUGAAUUAGAAUGGGAGAUUCUACACACUGUUUUACUACCUGCUGUUUCCAAUCUGCACUGGAACCAAAUAAAAAGUGCAGAAAAGAAAACUUAAUUAACCUAAAAGUAUAUUACCCAUCCAUACAAGCUCCACACCCACAUCUGUAUUACUAUAUUUGUGGUGCUGAUACAUUAACCAUCCAACAGAAGAUGCCUUAGUAUCUAAAAAGACCCUACUGUUGAACUUUUUCUAGAUUUAAUUUUUUUCCUGUUUAUAAUGAAUCACACUUUUGAUAAAUCUUUGCAUUUUAAAAGACUACACACAGAUCAGACCACAAAAAAUGUAGUAUAAAAAAUGCUGUGAUUAUUAUGAGAUGUACCCUGGAUUUACCUAUGUACAGGCAAAAAAACCCACCUAGAAAUCUACUGAUUAACAAUGUGUAAUUUAUUUUAUUAAAGACACUUCAAAAAGGAAAAGAAUAGAAGAGAUGCUUCCUUUCAUGAUGCAAACUAACAUAAAGACUUACAUCUAUUUCUUCUGGAACACUGUGUGAUUUCAUAGAUGAAAGGAGUUCCAUUACAGGAACAACUUCCCCUGUCAGCAAUGGAAUGAUGCUCUGGCCCUGUGCAAUAAAUCAUGUUUUAAUUAUUUAUUAAUAUUUAUGAACAGCAUGCACUUAGAACAGAACAUCAAAAGGGUGAACUGUUUUUGGAAAGAACAGAGUAAUAAGGAUCCCUCAAUCCUCCAAAGCAGAUUUUAAGUGUGCAGGCAGGGGUGGGGAGGCUGA